rnacentral:lncRNA from 1 species
AUGUUCUCUCAUCCCGAGGCUAUACCUCAGCUGCUGUCCUCAUCAGAAGUGCCAGAACUCCAGCACCCCAGGUUCCUACUUCCCACUUCACACCUCCAGCAUCUCUCACAUUCACAGGCUUGGGAAGAGAGCCCAGAACCAUGCUGUAGCUUGGACUGUGCAUUUUGGUAGGGCCACACAAGAUAAGAAACACUGGUGGAAAGCAUAGUCUCUGGCUGGCAGCCUCGAGUGAGAAUUUCUUCACCGUGACUCUCAGGUGGUAGGAAGCCAUCUCCACUCCUGUGGCACUUGUCAGUGUUGAAGCACACCGAGCAAUCUGCAUGGGAGAGAUAGGGUUGGCAUCAGCAGUUGGGCUGGAUUCAGAUUUUUUCAGAGCAGCAGUUUAGUUUUUUGCACUCCUUAAGCUUUGAGACCAGAGGUUUUGAUUUGAAUCUUUCUCUUCUUAAAGAGCAAAUUAACCACUUUCAUUGCUAAGCGGGUUAUUAUGUUCACAAGGUCCUGCCUUACUAAAGCAGAAUGUAUUGCCUUAUGGAUGUCAGGGAGAACUGAGGAAACAAAGGCAAAAAAAUCCUACUGAGAAACAUCUUGUGCUGAAAGCCAGUUCAGAAGGGAAGUUGUGAAUCUGUCAACAUAACUGCACAGGGAAGAUAAAGGCACAGCAGACACAGACUGAGCAUAUCUACAACACAUCAAACAACAAGUCAAUCAAAGAGUCAUUAGCCCGUUGGACUAUGAACCUUCCACUGCAAUGCUGCCAGAUCAAUCAGUCAAGGGCCAACUGUAGAAAAGCAGUGUAUCAGGUACUGGUCACCAGGGACUAGAAAAAAACAAAACCUUUAAGUGUUCUUCUUUGCCUGAGAAUCUGGACAGAGAGUUCAGUAGAUUCAGGCCUUCAAAGAGAAUUGCUUAAGGGGAUUUUAACGACUGAUGGCUUCACCACUGGGGGAAUCAAGCCACAAAUGGAUGCUGUGUUACUGUAUCAGCCUCCAGCACUCCCCUCACCAGUCCUGUCUUCCUCAUCCUAGCAAUUUUCCAUGGUUAGGGAUGUGAUCCCUGGAGAAGGAUAAAUAAAUAAAUAAAUAAAUAAAUAAAUAAAUACCA